rnacentral:rRNA from 1 species
AGAGUUUGAUCCUGGCUCAGGAUGAACGCUGGCGGCGUGCUUAAUACAUGCAAGUCGAACGGAGAGUGUAGCAAUACAUUCUCAGUGGCGAACGGGUGAGUAACGCGUUGGUGACCUGCCCCGAAGAGGGGGAUAACAGUUCGAAAGGACUGCUAAUACCCCGUGUUGUCACCGGGAUUAGAUGCCUGGUGACUAAAGGAGUAAUCCGCUUUGGGAGGGACCUGCGUCCCAUCAGCUAGUUGGUAAGGUAACGGCCUACCAAGGCUAUGACGGGUAGGGGGCCUGAGAGGGUGAUCCCCCACACUGACACUGAAAUACGGGUCAGACACCUACGGGUGGCAGCAGUAGGGAAUAUUGGUAAUGGGCGAAAGCCUGAACCAGCAACGUCGCGUGUGCGAUGAAGGUCUUCGGAUUGUAAAGCACUUUUUGAGGGGAUGAGAAUGGACAGUACCCUCAGAAUAAGUCUCGGCUAACUACGUGCCAGCAGCCGCGGUAACACGUAGGAGACAAGCGUUAUUCGGAUUUACUGGGCGUAAAGCGCGUGCAGGCGGUUCGGUAAGUUGGAUGUGAAAGCUCCUGGCUCAACUGGGAGAGGUCGUUCAAUACUGUCGGGCUCGAGGAUGGGAGAGGGAGGUGGAAUUCCGGGUGAAGUGGUGAAAUGCGUAGAUAUCCGGAGGAACACCAGUGGCGAAAGCGGCCUCCUGGCCCAAACCUGACGCUCAGACGCGAAAGCUAGGGGAGCGAACGGGAUUAGAGACCCCGGUAGUCCUAGCUGUAAACUAUGUAGACUUGGCGUCGGUGGGGUAAAAUCCAUCGGUGCCGUAGCUAACGCGAUAAGUCUACCGCCUGGGGACUACGGCCGCAAGGUUAAGACUCAAAGGAAUUGACGGGGCCCCGCACAAGCAGCGGAGCGUGUGGUUUAAUUCGAUACACGAAGAACCUUACCAGGGUUUGACAUGUAGGUGGUAGGGACCCGAAAGGUGAACGACCCGCAAGGGAGCCUACACAGGUGCUGCAUGGCUGUCGUCAGCUCGUGUCGUGAGAUGUUCGGUUAAGUCCGCUAACGAGCGCAACCCUCGCUGCGUGUUACAAGUGUCACACGGGACCGCCGGUCUUAAGCCGGAGGAAGGUGGGGAUGAUGUCAAGCCAGCAUGGCCUUUAUGUCCUGGGCUACACACACGCUACAAUGGCCGGUACAAUAGGUUGCUAAGCCGCGAGGCGGAGCCAAUCCCUAAAAUCGGUCUCAGUUCAGAUCGUAGGCUGCAACUCGCCUGCGUGAAGAUGGAGUUGCUAGUAACCGCAGGUCAGCUAUACUGCGGUGAAUACGUUCCCGGGGCUUGUACACACCGCCCGUCACGUCAUGGGAGCUGGCAACACCUGAAGCCGGUAUCCUAACCCGUAAGGGAGGGAGCCGUCGAGGGUGGGGUCGGUGACUGGGACGAAGUCGUAACAAGGUA